UACGGAGGGGGCUAGCGUUGUUCGGAAUUACUGGGCGUAAAGCGCACGUAGGCGGAUUUGUAAGUUAGGGGUGAAAUCCCGGGGCUCAACCUCGGAACUGCCCUUGAUACUGCAAAUCUCGAGUCCGGAAGAGGUGAGUGGAAUUCCUAGUGUAGAGGUGAAAUUCGUAGAUAUUAGGAAGAACACCAGUGGCGAAGGCGGCUCACUGGUCCGGUACUGACGCUGAGGUGCGAAAGCGUGGGGAGCAAACAGG
rnacentral:rRNA from 1 species